AGGCAUAUGGAGCUUCCCAGGCUAGGGGUCGAAUCGAAGCUGUAGCCACUGGCCUACGCCACAGCCACAGCAAUGCGGGAUCUGAGCUGAGUCUGCGACCUAUACCACAGCUCAUGGAAGGCCAGAUCCUUAACCCACUGAGUGAGGCCAGGGAUCGAACCUGCGUCCUCAUGGAUGCCAGUCGGGUUCAUUAACCACCGAGCCAUGAGGGGAACUCCUCAAGGAAUAUUCUUACUGCGGUGUGCGUGCAGUUCUUCUUGCUGGGUUUUUUAUCUGAUUUCUUGAAUGGCUGCCUUUUUUCUUUCUACCUUCCUGCAUGCUUAUGAACAAUAAUGCUAUUUUUGAAUUAAUAGGACGAGACGGCAGAGGCUGUAGCUUUUACUGGCUUUAUCCCAUGUCCAGCACAGUAUCACACAUCUUGUAAAAUGUAUGCUUUGCUGAAAGCCAAGCGCUGCUAAAAAAGAGAGGGAGAUUUUAAAUCUAAAGACACUCCCCCGCUUCAUUUCCAGGCAUGUUAUAGGACACUUUCUCUUAAGGAUGAGUAUUGACAAGGAGGGCCUGGUACUUCUAACGUCUGUAGUCUUAAAAUUUUUUUCUCUAGAACCUAGAUAAUAAUGAAAAUAAUAAUAGCUACCAUGAAUUAAGUGCUCAUGAUGUGCCAGUCCUAUUCUAAAUGCCAUGUGCAACUAUUAAGUGCCAUUAUUAUUAUUAUUUUUUUUCUUUUUAGCUAUUUCUUGGGCCGCUCCUGCGGCAUAUGGAGGUUCCCAGGCUAGGGGUCUCAUCGGAGCUGUAGCCACCGGCCUACGCCAGAGCCACAGCAACACGGGAUCCGAGCCGCGUCUGCAACCUACACCACAGCUCACGGCAACGCCGGAUCGCUAACCCACUGAGCAAGGGCAGGGACCGAACCCGCAACCUCAUGGUUCCUAGUCGGAUUCGUUAACCACUGCGCCACGACGGGAACUCCUUAAGUGCCAUUAUAAAUCCUCUGGUACAGAUGACAUUGUCCUGAUACCCUGAUUUAAAAUUCUUUAGCUAAGGAGUUCCUGCAAUGGCACAGCAGGUUAAGGAUCUGGCAUUCUUACAUCAUUAGAAAUGAUAUACACCUCUGGUUCCUUGAUAUAGAGGUCCCUAAUGGAGGAUUAAUUAGAGAAAACAGAAUAACUCCAUUUUGAUCCUCAGGGAGCCGUCAAGAACAGAAAAAGGUCCAAGAAUUUAGCUAUCAUAUCACAGCACGGGUUCUACUAAGAAGAAAACGAGGGCGUGUAAUAAGAGCAGCUUGCGCGUUUACUGUGUUCUAGGUACAUGCUAUUCUAAGUACGUCACACCUACUAACUUAAUUACUGCAUACUGCAGGUGCUCUUGCCACCCCCACUAUCCAGACGGGGAAACUGAGGUGCAGAGGGGGUAACUACAAGAUAACCUGAGAACCAGUAAGUGGUGGAUUCGAACCCAGGUAAGGUAACCGCCCUCCAGGAUCCAGGCUGUUAACCACUGCAUUAUACACUGACUGUGGACAACCAGAAUGGUAGCACUAAAGGAACCUAUAAAAGCAUCUAGAACACUCUCCUCAGGUCCUGUAAACUGAGGCUCAAUGACACUGGUCUGGAGAAGUAGUCCUUGGUUCCCAAUGGCUUGCUCCUCUCACAAUGUUCCUUAUCACCUUUACAAUCACCUGAAAAGUACUCGGAGCACGACACAGGCUACAGAGUUUGUUAUCUGGUAACCAGCAUCUGCCUACUUCUUGGAUACAUCUCUGUUACCAUCAGCAGAUGCAUCGGUGGAGAGCCCUUUAAAAGUAAUACUCUCCUACGAAAUGCUUUGUUUACCUACUCAGAGAAUGAAACACUCUGUAAUACGAACACCAUGAUGGUGCAAAGGAAUGCGCAGUUCUACCAAGUAAAAUUCCAUACUGCUAAGGAGCAGAUGACUGUCCGGAAAAGAACCGCUUUGAGACUAUGUUCCGUUAGCAAAUUAAAUGCUAAAACAGAUGUUGAGGCUGAUGACUAUUAAAGUUCUUUCAAACCCUGAGAGUCUAUGGUUUUGUGAAAUCAUAACUUUGGGUGCUUUUUUGACCCCCUUGUUCAAGGAUCAAUUUACUUGACUUCAAAAAUGCCUUAAUAUGCUUUGUUAGAUACCAGUCACAUACAUGCCCCCGAGCAGCUGAUGGGAAGGGGUGUCACGACUCCACCAAACAGCAUCCGGAUAUGCUCCCUUUAGGUGGAAAAACAAGCGACUGUCACUUAGACGACAGGCAAGUGACUUUGUUAAGGGGAGAGGAGGAAUGUGGUUAAGUUCCCAGAAAGACUAAGGAUGACUAUAGUCCUAGGAUAACCAGCUCACCGGGCAGCACUGGGUCGCCUUUCACAGGUGCACAGUGACCUCUACUGGUGCCAAUAGAGAAUCUCAAAAUGCCACUUUCUCCAUAAGGGAAUUUUCAGAGGUAAGAUUAAGAAUAUUUAUUCUUUUGGACCUUUGAAAAUUCCUAAUUAAAAUACAGAUUUCCUCCUCUACUAACAUUAAACAGUCCAAUUACAACAGACCACAUAUAACAUAUCACAGACUGGAAAUAACUAAAUAGUAUUUUAAUUUUAAAAAAUUAAUCCUGCUGGUGACAGCAAAAAUACAGUUACGUGCCAUGGCAUUAAGGCUCUUCUUUAAAAAUAACCUUUUGGGAAAUACCUCUAAUACACCCAAAAGUCGCCAAAGUCACCAAUUAUACAACAAGAAUUAUAUAGUUAAAGUUCUCACAAUGCACUCAGACUUUCGGUUGUCAAAUAUUAUGUGGCCCACGUUCUCAAGAAUAUUAUGCUUUCUUGUUUCCAAAAUAAUACUUAAAGCUUUGGAUUUUAUCUUUUAAAUAUCUAAGGUUAUCAGAAAUAAAAUUAGUUGUAGACAGGUUUAUUAUUUAUAAAAUCUUCCAGGGGGCAAAUUUUACUACAAGUGAAAAAAAUGCCAAAAAAUGCAGCUGACUCUUGAACAAGACAGUUUGAACUGCACAGGUCCAUUUAUACAUGGAGUUUUCAUGGCUUUUUUUUCAAUAGUAAAUACUACAGGACUACAAGAUUUGAGGUUGGCUGAGUCCCUGGAUAUGGAACCGUGGCGGCCAACUAUAAACGACUGUAAGUUAUAUGUAGGGAGGGUUUGCACACCUAACCUCCACUUGUUUUGGGGUCAAUUUACUUGACCUCAGAGAUGCCUUAAUAUGUUUCGUUGCAUAAUAGUCACAUACACGUAAUUAUGAUUGAAACACUACACAACUUCAAAGUAUGAAUUUUUAAAAAUCAAUAGGAAUAUUUUUAAUUCUUGUAGGCUGAAAUAAUUUCCUUGAAACUUCAUUUCCAUAAAUUUCCAUCACAGUAAAUGAAGUAGGAAAGAAUUCAAAAUGCUACUUUUCAGUGAUAAAUACUUAAACCAAAUUUUAUUCCAACAAUAGGGAAAUACAGCUUCUCUGAUUUGCUCUUUCUUCUUCUUCUUCUUCUUCUUCUUUUUUUAAAUCUUUUUAGGGCCACACCUGCAGCAUAUGGAAGUUCCCAGCCUAAGGGUCUGUCUAACAGGAGCUGUUAGCUGCUGGCCUACACCACAGCCACAGCAACAAGAAAUCCGAGCCACAUCUGCAACCAACACUACAGUUCACGGCAACACCAGAUCCUUAACCCAAUGGGCAGGGCCAGGGAUCGAACCUGCAUCCUCAUGUGGAUACUAGUUGAGUUGGUUACCACUGAGCUAUGAUGGGAACU
rnacentral:lncRNA from 1 species